UAGGCUCACUCGAUCUAAAAUCAAUUAGGACUUUUUUAUGGUUGUAAUGUGGCCUAAGGGACAGGUAAGAUAUAUUUAGGAAUAGUGACUAACCCUCCCAAGCACUUUAACACAUCACGUAAUCACUUUAAGCGCAAAUUCUCCAACCCACUUCCUUUUCACAAACUGUCUCACCCAAAAACUGCUCUCUUAUUCUUUUAGCACUACAUUAAUUCAUACCCACUAGUAGGAACAAGACAACAAUGUGUUCAUCUAUAUAUUUUUUUUCAGUUUAUUAUUCUUUUUCUUUUCACUUUCCGCUAGUGGUGUAUUAUUUUACAAAAUAAGUGCACCUUUAUUUCUUUUAUUGGUUCCACUAAAAAGCCACCCCACACAUAGUUCCUUCUUACUUCUUUUAGUUCUCAUCUCACAAUUAAAGUGCUUUAAGAGGUAAAAGGAUCAAAACAAGAUCAAUUCGGAACAAAAAGGGUAUAGGCUUGUAAUGUGGAUGCCAAACAAAAGUCUAUAGGCUCAAAAGGGUUCACUAGGGAUAAAUUUAUUUAUGAUACGCAAUUAAGCUCAAAAGAAUCAAAGAAAGCCUAAAAUCAUUUUUAAAACCAAGCAUCAUAUAAAAUUUUGCUUCAAUGCAUACACUUAGCAAGUUCUUGACAAAAGUACAAUACACGGACUACACAAAAACCUCACCACACAUGGCAUAUGACACAUUCCAAAUCAGCUCAUAAAGACACUUCGCUACGAGAAUUAAAUUCAGUAACAAACAUACAGAUUAAGGUACUUUAGUGAGAUUUAACAAAUAAGAAUAAACGUUACACUCUAUGGUCUAUUGUAUUCAGGUGUGCCAACGCUAUGGGUCCUCCUUUGAUUCUCUAGCUCGUAGCCUAUUAACUUAAUCUACAAAUAAAAAACAAAAUAAAAAGAAAAAAUACUUAUACCCAGUUCAAGUUAAAGCCUUGGAAAAGAAU
rnacentral:lncRNA from 1 species